rfam:Gasterosteus aculeatus cont1.001850, whole genome shotgun sequence.
UUUAAAGUGUAAUGUAAGUCGCUUUGGAUAAAAGCGUCUGCUACAUGACCUGUA